AAGAUACUGAGGCUGGUGGAAUGAAAAAAUUAGUGUAGUUUUUAGCCUACAGGCAUUUUACAAUGAAAAACAGCGUGACUAAAGCUGUUGCACAGGUGUAAGGCCUGUACCCAGGGAGGUUUCGGUUGGUUGGAAAGACCCACCCCUCACUGAAAAAGGAUCCAAAUGUGUCAUUCUCCUGCCUCAGACAUAUGCAAACAGCAUACGGCUCUUUUGUGUCACUGGCACAAGGACAGGAGAUGAUUUCCAGCGUGUCUCAGACAGGCCGAGCUCAGAUCCGCUGGCAGAUGAAGAGCUCACCAUCUGGCACAGGCCUCCACGUGCAUUUGAGAGCUCAGAGGAUGAAACGGGGAAACGCUCUCACGUGCAACACUGUUUCUGCCCCGGGAUAUCGCUCUAAGUGGGUUAGUGACUCAGACUUAAACAUUAGUGCAGCCAUGCUCAAAUGUACAACAAUAUGGCCAUUUGCACUGCUGUGAGAUCAGAAAAUUCCUGAUGCGCCAAGUAAUACUGUAGAAGCACUGGGAAAUGUUGAGUUUUAA